AGAGUUUGAUCCUGGCUCAGAACGAACGCUGGCGGCGUGCUUAACACAUGCAAGUCGAGUGCGCGUACCGUAGCAAUACGGUAUGGCGCACGGCGCACGGGUGCGUAACACGUGGGCAAUCUGCCCUUCGAUGGGGAAUAACCUCGCGAAAGCGAGGCUAAUUCCGCAUAACAUUCCUUGGACUUCGGUUCGAGGACUCAAAGCCGUAAGGCGUCGAAGGAGGAGCCCGCGCACGAUUAGCUAGUUGGUAGGGUAACGGCCUACCAAGGCUUUGAUCGUUAGCUGGUCUGAGAGGAUGGCCAGCCACACUGGAACUGAGACACGGUCCAGACUCCUACGGGAGGCAGCAGUGGGGAAUCUUGCACAAUGGGCGAAAGCCUGAUGCAGCGACGCCGCGUGGGGGAUGAAGCAUUUCGGUGUGUAAACCCCUUUCGACCCGGACGAAUGCCUCGCAAGAGGAGUGACGGUACGGGUAUAAGAAGCCCCGGCUAACUACGUGCCAGCAGCCGCGGUAAGACGUAGGGGGCCAGCGUUGUUCGGAAUUACUGGGUGUAAAGGGUUCGUAGCGGGUGGCAAGUUGGGAGUGAAAUCUCUGGGCUCAACCCAGAGCUGCUUCC
rnacentral:rRNA from 1 species